ACAUUUGCCCUCACUUCUCCUCUGCAUCAAACCCCAAAUAUUCAACACACUACGCCACGUCUGCAACUUCUUGAAUUUGAAACCCUUUUUGCUAAUCCCACUAGCAACAGAAUCCGCAUCCUUAGAAAGAGAAUUGGUUUUCCCUGCAUGAUAAUCUUUAAGCGAAUACCAAUUUGAAUCCCUCAAUUCUUUCUCUGUGACUAACAACUUUGCCCCAUGGAAUAAUCCAACUGUUUCAGGAGAUACCUUAGCAUUGGAUAUUGAUCUGAAGUCGUCAUCCCCUAAUGUAACCCCCCUAUUUGAACCUAGGCGAUCAAAACUUC
rnacentral:misc_RNA from 1 species